rnacentral:rRNA from 1 species
UGCAGUCGAGCGAGCUUUCGGGCUUAGCGGCGGACGGGUGAGUAACGCGUGGGAACGUGCCCUUUGGUACGGAAUAGUCCUGGGAAACUGGGUUUAAUACCGUAUAUUCUCUACGGAGGAAAGAUUUAUCGCCAAAGGAUCGGCCCGCGUUGGAUUAGGUAGUUGGUGGGGUAAUGGCCUACCAAGCCGACGAUCCAUAGCUGGUUUGAGAGGAUGAUCAGCCACACUGGGACUGAGACACGGCCCAGACUCCUACGGGAGGCAGCAGUGGGGAAUCUUAGACAAUGGGGGCAACCCUGAUCUAGCCAUGCCGCGUGAUCGAUGAAGGCCUUAGGGUUGUAAAGAUCUUUCGCUGGGGAAGAUAAUGACGGUACCCAGUAAAGAAGCCCCGGCUAACUCCGUGCCAGCAGCCGCGGUAAUACGGAGGGGGCUAGCGUUGUUCGGAAUUACUGGGCGUAAAGCGCGCGUAGGCGGAUUGGAAAGUUGGGGGUGAAAUCCCGGGGCUCAACCCCGGAACUGCCUCCAAAACUAUCAGUCUGGAGUUCGAGAGAGGUGAGUGGAAUUGCGAGUGUAGAGGUGAAAUUCGUAGAUAUUCGCAGGAACACCAGUGGCGAAGGCGGCUCACUGGCUCGAUACUGACGCUGA